rnacentral:rRNA from 1 species
CCUAGUGUGAAUUGCAGAUUCCGCGAAUAUCGAGUCUUUGAACGCAAGUUGCGCCCGAGGCUCGUCCCGAGGGCAUGCCUGCCUGAGCGUCCG